ACUCCUACGGGAGGCAGCAGUGGGGAAUAUUGCGCAAUGGGCGAAAGCCUGACGCAGCGACGCCGCGUGUGGGAUGACGGCCUUCGGGUUGUAAACCACUGUCGGGAGGGACGAAGAUCUGACGGUACCUCCAAAGGAAGCACCGGCUAACUCUGUGCCAGCAGCCGCGGUAAUACAGAGGGUGCGAGCGUUGUCCGGAAUCACUGGGCGUAAAGGGCGCGUAGGCGGCCUGAUAAGUAGGGGGUGAAAUUUUGCGGCUCAACCGCGAAGCUGCCUUCUAAACUGUCAGGCUGGAGCACAGUAGAGGCAGGUGGAAUUCCCGGUGUAGCGGUGGAAUGCGUAGAGAUCGGGAAGAACAUCGGUGGCGAAGGCGGCCUGCUGGGCUGUUGCUGACGCUGAGGCGCGAAAGCGUGGGGAGCAAACAGGAUUAGAUACCCUGGUAG
rnacentral:rRNA from 1 species